AGAGUUUGAUCCUGGCUCAGAACGAACGCUGGCGGCGCGCCUAAUACAUGCAAGUCGAGCGAGAAGGUGUAGCAAUACACUUGUAAAGCGGCGAACGGGUGAGGAAUACAUGGGUAAUCUACCAUCGAGUGGGGAAUAACCAGCCGAAAGGUUGGCUAAUACCGCGUACGCCUCCGAGUCUUCGGGUUCGGAGGGAAAGCUGUACUGUGAGUGCAGCGCUCUUUGAUGAGCUCAUGUCCUAUCAGCUUGUUGGUAGGGUAACGGCCUACCAAGGCUUUGACGGGUAGCUGGUCUGAGAGGACGAUCAGCCACACUGGCACUGCGACACGGGCCAGACUCCUACGGGAGGCAGCAGUAAGGAAUAUUGCGCAAUGGGCGAAAGCCUGACGCAGCGACGCCGCGUGGGGGAUGAAGGUCUUCGGAUUGUAAACCCCUUUCGGGAGGGAAGAUGGAGCGAGCAAUCGUUCGGACGGUACCUCCAGAAGCAGCCACGGCCAACUUCGUGCCAGCAGCCGCGGUAAUACGAAGGUGGCAAGCGUUGUUCGGAUUCACUGGGCGUACAGGGUGUGUAGGCGGUUUGGUAAGCCUUCUGUUAAAGCUUCGGGCCCAACCCGGAAAGCGCAG
rnacentral:rRNA from 1 species